GGGGGGUAAAUUGAACCGUAAAUUCAAAACAUUUUGCUUAUUGGAUACUUUAAAGGUACACAUACACUAUACAGUCCAAUUAACAUACAAGGACUACUUCAUCUCUCCAUCAAACAAAACUAGCAGAAAAAAAUUAGCAAAUUAGUGUUUUUAAUAAUCUUCAGUUUCAGAUUUGAAAAGUGUGUUACCCUGAGUUCUAUGUGGGGGGCUAUGCCCCCCCCUUUACAGGUCUAGGUGGGGGCACGGCCCCCUUGCCGCCCCCAUGUAUACCCCCUUGUAUAUAGUUGAUUAUAACAAAUGUAACCAAUCCACAUCACUCCACAGCAUAAUAUGUUUUCAUUGUUUUGUAAACACAAUGUAGAAAGAACCAGUACAGUACACUUCUGUGAUAUUUAAUUUGUGCUUUUAUAGUGAUUUUCUAAAUGUUAGUCUUAAAAAUGAUAUGUUUGUUUUUACUAAUUUUGUAAUGAUUUAUAAGUUAUGCAAUUUUAAUUAAUGCGCACGUUGCAGUAAUAUAUCUUUUUUGAUAGUUUGAAUUUUUUAAAGUUUCAUGAUAAGAUACAAAGUUUGAAGACAUGGGAUUUUGACAAACUGAAAUCAGAAGUCCAUAUAAUUCCGUUUCUGAUCCCAAAUGAGAUCGGGGUUCAAAGUAAAUAUAGAAGCAUCAAAAUACACUUUCUGUGUCAUUGUGAAAUUUGACAAGUUUUUUGUGUACGUGUACUACACUUAAGAAAUGUGUAUUGCAUUUGGAAUAUUAAAAGGUGUAAAUAUCAGUAAAUUUUGAUAAAUUAUGAUAUAUAGAAAAAUGAACACUCCCUUGCAGCAUACAUUCUGCAGUAUGGAAUUUUUUCUCCUUUUUUUCAGUGUAGUAUAGAAUGUGCAUUAGGAUGCGCGUUUACAGUUUAUUCUAGGCAGGAGUCCGGGACAAGCAGAAAAGGCCUGCCCCCACCCUCUCUUUUUCCAACGGAGGUAUUUAAACACAAGACGGCAGUGUACAGUGAGGGAAUCUACUCUAUAUCUAUCAGUGAAGGAAUCUACUCUAUAUCUAUCAGUGAAGGAAUCUACUCUAUAUCUAUCAGUGAAGGAAUCUUCUCUAUAUCUAUCACUGGGGGAAUCUACUCUAUAUCUAUCAGUGAGGGAAUCUACUCUAUAUCUAUUAGUGAAGGAAUCUACGAACUGUCUAGAUGACUGUCACAAAAGCUGAUUUGAGUAAACUAAAACAUUUAUAAUAUAGAACAAAAAGACGAACCAAGAAGGUCUAUUUUAGUCAAUUAAUAGGUUGCCAAAAACGAAAUCCCAAGAAGAUGUGAGAAACAUUAAAAACAUUUCAGGGAUGAGAAACUAGCCUAAUCAGAGUUCUAUGGGAAUUGAUUCCAUUAAUGUAAUAUUUCAAGCAUGGUGUAAUAUUUAGAAUAUGAUCUAACCCUCUAACCCCUCAACCCUUUGUCUAUAUCUAAGUUGAGUAGAAAACCUGGAGAAUAGUAACUAUAGGAGCAGUACACUCCAGGAUCUAAUAAGGAUAGACGUAAGAGCUUAGCUCUGUUUAUCCAACUAAGGCCUGGGGACUUAUGCUUCAUGGACAGCUCUCAGAAUGAUGUAUCUUACCAUGACUACCAGAGGAGUAAGGAGGAGGCCAGCCUCCUUCCCAUCCAAUUUAAACAUACAUACUCGGAAUCCUCAGCAUCACUAAGGAUAUCAGAGGACGCUCUUUGUUCUCCAGCUGGAUCUAAGAACAUCGAAUUAAUGGGGCCUUGGAGCAGCUUAAGUGUUAAUAGGACAUACCGAAGUUGUGCAUUCGACCCACAAAAUCUGUGAAUCCGACCUACAAAAGUUGUUCCAUGAUUACCAUAUGAUUACCCCUAAUAUCAACAUUUGGGAUCGUAUUGGAUGAAAUUAUACGGACCCACGACUGAAAUAAAAUUCUCAAAUUAAUAA